rnacentral:rRNA from 1 species
GACGAACGCUGGCGGCGUGCUUAACACAUGCGAGUCGAACGGAAAGGCCCUGCUUUUGUGGGGUGCUCGAGUGGCGAACGGGUGAGUAACACGUGAGUAACCUGCCCUUGACUUUGGGAUAACUUCAGGAAACUGGGGCUAAUACCGGAUAGGAGCUCCUGCUGCAUGGUGGGGGUUGGAAAGUUUCGGCGGUUGGGGAUGGACUCGCGGCUUAUCAGCUUGUUGGUGGGGUAGUGGCUUACCAAGGCUUUGACGGGUAGCCGGCCUGAGAGGGUGACCGGCCACAUAGGGACUGAGAGACGGCCCAGACUCCUACGGGAGGCAGCAGUGGGGAAUAUUGCACAAUGGGCGGAAGCCUGAUGCAGCAACGCCGCGUGCGUGAUGACGGCCUUCGGGUUGUAAACCGCUUUCGCCUGUGACGAAGCGUGAGUGACGGUAAUGGGUAAAGAAGCACCGGCUAACUACGUG